GACGAACGCUGGCGGCGUGCCUAAUACAUGCAAGUAGAACGCUGAAGAGAGGAGCUUGCUCUUCUUGGAUGAGUUGCGAACGGGUGAGUAACGCGUAGGUAACCUGCCUGGUAGCGGGGGAUAACUAUUGGAAACGAUAGCUAAUACCGCAUAAAAUGGAUUAUCGCAUGAUAAUCCAUUGAAAGGUGCAAAUGCAUCACUACCAGAUGGACCUGCGUUGUAUUAGCUAGUUGGUGGGGUAACGGCUCACCAAGGCGACGAUACAUAGCCGACCUGAGAGGGUGAUCAGCCACACUGGGACUGAGACACGGCCCAGACUCCUACGGGAGGCAGCAGUAGGGAAUCUUCGGCAAUGGACGGAAGUCUGACCGAGCAACGCCGCGUGAGUGAAGAAGGUUUUCGGAUCGUAAAGCUCUGUUGUAAGAGAAGAACGAGUGUGAGAGUGGAAAGUUCACACUGUGACGGUAUCUUACCAGAAAGGGACGGCUAACUACGUG
rnacentral:rRNA from 1 species